rnacentral:rRNA from 1 species
GAUGAACGCUGGCGGCGUGCCUAACACAUGCAAGUCGAGCGAGGGUUUGCUCAGUAUUGAGUAUUCUAAGUCUAGAAUGUUCAAUACUGAGCAAAACCAAGCGGCGGACGGGUGAGUAACGCGUGGGUAACCUGCCCUAUACACAUGGAUAACAUACUGAAAAGUUUACUAAUACAUGAUAAUAUAUAUUUGUGGCAUCGCAGAUAUAUCAAAGUGUUAGCGGUAUAGGAUGGACCCGCGUCUGAUUAGCUAGUUGGUGAGAUAACUGCCCACCAAGGCGACGAUCAGUAGCCGACCUGAGAGGGUGAUCGGCCACAUUGGAACUGAGACACGGUCCAAACUCCUACGGGAGGCAGCAGUGGGGAAUAUUGCACAAUGGGCGAAAGCCUGAUGCAGCAACGCCGCGUGAACGAUGAAGGUCUUCGGAUCGUAAAGUUCUGUUGCAGGGGAAGAUAAUGACGGUACCCUGUGAGGAAGCCCCGGCUAACUACGUGCCAGCAGCCGCGGUAAUACGUAGGGGGCUAGCGUUAUCCGGAUUUACUGGGCGUAAAGGGUGCGUAGGUGGUCCUUCAAGUCGGUGGUUAAAGGCUACGGCUCAACCGUAGUAAGCCGCCGAAACUGGAGGACUUGAGUGCAGGAGAGGAAAGUGGAAUUCCCAGUGUAGCGGUGAAAUGCGUAGAUAUUGGGAGGAACACCAGUAGCGAAGGCGGCUUUCUGGACUGCAACUGACACUGAGGCACGAAAGCGUGGGUAGCAAACAGG